GGAGUUGGAGUAAGAAGAAAGACCAUCAGAGUGACAUAUACAUAUAUAUGACAGAAGAAUAAUCGACCUGGAAGCCAAAACAUCACCCUGAUCUACCAAGAAAGCUGACACUGGAAGAGAGGCUGACACGAGAAGACUUCCUAAUCCUGAAUUCUAGAAUGAGAACCUGAAUCUGAGAAGCCAAGGAAAAGAGGAAGCCUCUUGGAAAAGAGGCUAAGCUAAGAAGGUAGAAAGGAGAAGAAAAGGGCAGCAGGCUAGACCGCUGGUGAGAGAGAAGCUCCGUGGCUUGUCUGGUCUGAACUGAACCAUGAGCUGCACCGGAAGUGCUGUUAACCAGGAAGAUGGUGAGGUCGGCCCUGAAGACAGGGUGCAAGAGGUACUUCCUCAGCAAGAGUAAGGCGAAUCUCUCGAGUCCAGACACAGGUCACAUAAAAAUGGGAUGCUUCCUGGCCCUCCGGCUCAGUGGGUGGAGCUGUCAUAUGACCAGGCUCCCUUGGAUUCCUCUGCGAUCAGGGCAGAACCAUAGGAGAGAACAGCUGCAGAGGGAUGGGAGCUUGUUGCCUGGCUCCAGGCUCUUCUGCCAGCGCUCCCUGUCCACAGUUUGUAGCCGAAUGGCUGGAGACCCAGCCUGGUCAUCAGAUCUGGCGUCUUGUCUCACUGCUGUACCUUACUGGUUAAGAUAACUCUCUAAACGUCUGUAAGUUCAGUUUCCCCGUGAAUAAAAACGAGCAUCC
rnacentral:lncRNA from 1 species